CCUACGGGAGGCUGCAGUGAGGAAUAUUGGUCAAUGGGCGAGAGCCUGAACCAGCCAAGUCGCGUGAGGGAGUACUGCCCUAUGGGUUGUAAACCUCUUUUGUCGGGGAGCAAAAGCCGGACGUUUCCGGCUGUGAGAGUACCCGAAGAAAAAGCAUCGGCUAACUCCGUGCCAGCAGCCGCGGUAAUACGGAGGAUGCGAGCGUUAUCCGGAUUUAUUGGGUUUAAAGGGUGCGCAGGCGGGUUUUUAAGUCAGCGGUAAAAUCGUGGGGCUCAACCCCAUCCAGCCGUUGAAACUGGGGAUCUAGAGUGUGCGAGAGGUAUGCGGAAUGCGUGGUGUAGCGGUGAAAUGCAUAGAUAUCACGCAGAACCCCGAUUGCGAAGGCAGCAUACCGGUGCACAACUGACGCUCAGGCACGAAAGCGUGGGUAUCGAACAGGAUUAGAUACCCGGGUAGUC
rnacentral:rRNA from 1 species